rnacentral:rRNA from 1 species
UACGUAGGUGGCGAGCGUUAUCCGGAAUGAUUGGGCGUAAAGGGUGCGUAGGUUGUUUUUUAAGUCAGCGGUGAAAGUUUGUGGCUCAACCAUAAAAUUGCCGUUGAAACUGGAAGACUUGAGUGUGUUUGAGGUAGGCGGAAUGCGUGGUGUAGCGGUGAAAUGCAUAGAUAUCACGCAGAACUCCGAUUGCGAAGGCAGCAUACCGGCGGCGAUCUGACGCUGAGGCACGAAAGCGUGGGUAUCGAACAGG